UAGAUAUUUAUAAUAUAUCUCGGUCGACAGUUUUACAUGUAUAAACCGAAAAAAAACUUUCUAUUUCCUUCAAUAAACUUCUAAUAUGAUCAUAAAUUAUUACGUCUACUGGUGUUUUAGGAUGCUAAUAAAUUUGCCAAUUUAGGGUUUCAAGCAAAUGUGAAUAUGUCUUGAACUACAUGUUUUGUUUGCAUUUGAAUUCUGCACGAAUAUUUCCCAGGCAUUGCACUAGUUCACAUCCAUGUGUUAUUAUCAUAAUUAUACAGUAUUUUAACAGCAGAUUAUAUAAUAUUAAAAUUACCCUAAGAGCUAUACAUCAUAUAUAUCAAUUCACAUAUACAAGUAUUUAUAAUAAAAUAUCAUUUUUUUAGCAUAUGAUAAUCGAACAGUUAUAACUUUUAUAAGAUGCAAAAGAGAUGAUAAGAUUGAUAAAAAUCUUAAUUAAAAUAGCUUACAUAUGAAACUAUGCUUUAAAAUUUGCUGAUAAACAA
rnacentral:lncRNA from 1 species